rnacentral:lncRNA from 1 species
GGGCCCUCCCUCUGCUCUAGUAUCCUGGCAGAGGAGGAGAACCUGAUGUGAGUGAAGCUGUUAUACUGCUUUAAAAAGUUGAAACAACUUGACCUUGCUGUGAACAAAAAGAUGUUGUGGGUAAGCAGAUGGACCCAGAAGAGUUCAGGAGAAAAAUGAGAAGUGUGUCGUAAGCCUCCUUCAAUAAACAAAGUGUACCAACUGCCUAACA